AGGGCUAUCGCCAUGCGGUAAGGCAGCGGCUUUUGAUGCCGCCUUUCCCUGGUUCGAAUUCGGGUGUCUCUU
rnacentral:tRNA from 1 species